GACGAACGCUGGCGGCGUGCUUAACACAUGCCAGUCGAACGGAAAGGCCCUGCUUUUGUGGGGUGCUCGAGUGGCGAACGGGUGAGUAACACGUGAGUAACCUGCCCUUGACUUUGGGAUAACUUCAGGAAACUGGGGCUAAUACCGGAUAGGAGCUCCUGCUGCAUGGUGGGGGUUGGAAAGUUUCGGCGGUUGGGGAUGGACUCGCGGCUUAUCAGCUUGUUGGUGGGGUAGUGGCUUACCAAGGCUUUGACGGGUAGCCGGCCUGAGAGGGUGACCGGCCACAUUGGGACUGAGAUACGGCCCAGACUCCUACGGGAGGCAGCAGUGGGGAAUAUUGCAAAAUGGGCGGAAGCCUGAUGCAGCAACGCCGCGUGCGGGAUGACGGCCUUCGGGUUGUAAACCGCUUUCGCCUGUGACGAAGCGUGAGUGACGGUAAUGGGUAAAGAAGCACCGGCUAACUACGUG
rnacentral:rRNA from 1 species